CCUACGGGAGGCAGCAGUGGGGAAUAUUGGACAAUGGGGGGAACCCUGAUCCAGCCAUGCCGCGUGUGUGAAGAAGGCCCUCGGGUUGGAAAGCACUUUCAGUGAGGAAGAACGCCUGGUGGUUAAUACCCAUCAGGAAAGACAUCACUCACAGAAGAAGCACCGGCUAACUCCGUGCCAGCAGCCGCGGUAAUACGGAGGGUGCGAGCGUUAAUCGGAAUUACUGGGCGUAAAGCGCGCGUAGGUGGCUUGAUAAGCCGGUUGUGAAAGCCCCGGGCUCAACCUGGGAACGGCAUCCGGAACUGUCAAGCUAGAGUGCAGGAGAGGAAGGUAGAAUUCCCGGUGUAGCGGUGAAAUGCGUAGAGAUCGGGAGGAAUACCAGUGGCGAAGGCGGCCUUCUGGACUGACACUGACACUGUGGUGCGAAAGCGUGGGUAGCAAACAGGAUUAGAUACCCCAGUAGUC
rnacentral:rRNA from 1 species